rnacentral:rRNA from 1 species
UGGGGCAAGCGUUAUCCGGAUUUACUGGGUGUAAAGGGAGCGCAGGCGGUCUGCCAAGUCUGGAGUGAAAGCCCGGGGCCCAACCCCGGGACUGCUUUGGAAACUGUGUAACUGGAGUACAGGAGGGGCAGGCGGAAUUCCUGGUGUAGCGGUGAAAUGCGUAGAUAUCAGGAGGAACACCGGCGGCGAAGGCGGCCUGCUGGACUGAAACUGACGUUGAGGCUCGAAAGCGUGGGGAGCAAA